GCUCGCGGAGGCCUGCCCUUUUUCUCCCUGCCCGCGCAGGCCAGGUCCACCAGCCCCGUCAGGGCCUCCGGGAGCCGCCGGACAGCGCCUCGCGGGGCCUCGGUUUGUGGCCUGAGAGAGGCACUGGAGGUGCAAGGCCUGGGAGCUGCCUGGGCUCGGGGGAAGCCGGGUCCAGAGUGUCCACGGACGCUUCCUCUCCGUCUCCUGCGGCUGCCUUGGAGAACAGCCGCUUACCUGGAAGCGAGUGGCGGGUAGCUCUGCUUUUCCAGAAGGUCGCGGAUGGACGGGGCCCGCUGCUUGGCUGUUGGUCGCAGAGGAUUCAGUUCAACCUGCAGGAUCACCGUCAUCUCUGGAACGCGAAUAAUUCCCCCUCCCCUUUUUUUUUCAUUUUUAAGACAACUUCAGUAUUUCAUCUGAUUUUAACCCAAUACUGUAGGCUCUGACUAAUGCAUUUCAAGGAAGAGGAAAUUUGGUCACAGUCAUAUCGGGGAGAGAUUAUGUGAAGACACAGGGAGAAGACAGGAAUCUACACGUGAAGGAGAGACGUCUCCGAAGAAACCAACCCUGCCGAUGCCUCAAUCUGGGACUUCUACCCUCCAGAACAGCAAGAAAAUGUCCUGUUGUUUAAGCCACCUGAUCUGCCGUACUCUGUUAGGGCAGCCCUAGCAAACUAAUAUAUCCCGGCUUUGUAGGAUUAGAUUAGUAGGCUGCAUGUAACAGAAAACGGAGCUCCUUUUAAAGUGGCUUAAACAAGAGAGAGGGCUUUGUUGUUAGUGUUGUAUUUUUCUUUCAGGGAAGCAGUUGGAAAGUGAAGCACUGAGGGCUGGUAUUGUAGCUCCUCAGUCAUCUGGCGCCCAGCGCCUUUCUUAUCCUGCUCCAUUCUUCCGGGCGGUGGUUUUUAUCCUCAAGUUCAUGGCAAGUUCUGAGAUGGCUCCUGGAGCACCUGCAUCAAGAUGACUUUGAUCCAGGGGAAGGAGGAAGGAGGGAAGAUCAAAAGGAGUACACUCUUCAUUGGAGUUAGUGUCCUUUAAGCAGCCUGCUCAGUUCUGCUCACAUCUCAUUGGCCGGAACCUAGCCCUCCAGAGGAGGGUGGCAGACUGUCUUCUAGCUGUAUACUCUGUCACCCCAAAUAAAAGUGGGAUUCUGUUAUCAAGA